rnacentral:rRNA from 1 species
CAAUAGCGUAUAUUAAAGUUGUUGCAGUUAAAAAGCUCGUAGUUGGAUUUCUGGAUGGAGCGACCGGUCGGGCAUUAAUUUGUCUGCACUGGAGUCGGUUCCGUCCAUCCUCUUGGAAAGUGCGUGGGGCAUUAAGUUGUCUGGCGUAUGAUCCAAGUCGUUUACUGUGAAAAAAUUAGAGUGUUUAAAGCAGGCCUUCGCCUUGAAUACAUUAGCAUGGAAUAAUAAGAUAGGACUUUGGUCUAUUUUGUUGGUUUGCAGACCGAAGUAAUGAUUAAUAGGGAUAGUUGGGGGUAUUUAUAUUCCGAUGUCAGAGGUGAAAUUCUUAGAUUUUCGGAAGAUAAACUUAUGCGAAANCANNNACCAAGGAUGUUUUCAUNAA